rnacentral:lncRNA from 1 species
ACUGACAGGCUGUUGGAUUUAUUGCUCCUUUUCUUCCCGAGUCCUCACACAAGCCCUGGUAACCACACGGCUCUGGUUGAUUUCACAGGUGUAGGGGCUAAUCUCUUUCUGUGGGCUGCAGAGCCAGGGGAAAAAUCCCAGAUAGGCUGGCCUGAGUCACUGAGAGCUCGUGUUACAUCCUGGAUCACCCAGAACUCAGUGAACUCACGUGCCUGCAACACAGGCACCCAAGCUGCCCAGGUAGGCAGCCAGCAGUAUGCAAAAGAAAUGGGAUGGCCUUGAUGGCCGUGUAGCUAACUCAGCUCUAAUCUGAAGAGGUCUCUUUGUUUUGUCAGUCAGAGCAUGGUGUGUCUUUGUCAGGGAGCAUGGAGACAUCUGUGAAAUCUGCUUUGUCCCCCAGGAACAGAGUGGUAGGAAACCAUACCCUGUGGGAUUGCUUCUGAGAGAGCAGUCCUGCAGGGUGGCAGUGGGCAGAGUGGACACCUGGGGCUCCUCCAGGAACUUGAUUUUGUUGUUUUUAAUUGGCUUCAAUUGGAGGUCAUAUAGUGUAAUGAUAAAAAGCCUCAGCUUUGGCAUCAGAUAGGCCUGAGUGUGAGUUCUAGUUCCAUCACUUACUGCAUGAUCCUGGGUCGAUGCCUUGGUCUUGACUAAGCGUCAACCCUGAGUUGGGGACAAUAAUAGUACCCAUGUUGUAGGUUUGUUCUGUGGAUUAACUGAAAUCAUGGAAUCAUAGGUUUGGGACACUGCAUAGCAUAACUGCAGGUAUACAGCACUUGUUAUUAUGAAAAGAUAUGACAGAUGACUGAGUAAUUGAGGAGAGUGACGAAUCAGACUGAAAUUCUCACAUAAACUCCUAUAUCCAGGUAGGAUGCUGGUGAGUUAGGACACUGAGAGCUAACACUGCUAUCGCUCUUCCCACACGCUUACAACUGUUUCAAGUGUUUUGCACAUAUUAACUCAAUCCUCAUAAAGACCAUGCAUGACAGGUACUUUAUGAUUCCUAUUUUAUAGCUGAAACAAUGAGACACGGGACUGGUAAGAGGAAGACAAAGGUUUGGACAAAGGCAGCUUGGCUCCUGGGUCUCUGCCCUUAGCAGGAUACAUACUGCCCUGACUGACUCUAGAGAAUGGUUAGAAAUGCCUACUUCAACCCCUGCCCUGCUCCCUAACACCCCUCCACCCUCAGACAGAAGAGCACUGCAAAUGCCCAGGAGGGAAGCACCUAGCUCUGCAAGAAAGAGUCUAGAAGUGGC